rnacentral:lncRNA from 1 species
CAUGGGAGCGGCCUUAGAAAUGAUAAAAAGACAAAAACAAACAAACAAACAAACAAAGCCAGCAGACCAACAAAACCUAUUCUAGAAGCAAUAUCAAAUGCAAAAUUCUUUAUGUCAUUCUAUGCAUAUUUUCCAUUUUAUAUAGAUACUGUAACUAAAGUUUGAGCCAAUCAGGGCCAGUGUGGUAGAGUGGGUCACCUUCUUCUCCCCGCCAUCUCCACAACAAAAGGAAAAGGGACAUUCAGCAAAUGGUGCUAAUAUUUUAGAUUAUACGUUUAUUUAUGUCUUUGCUAGCAGCUUAACUUCUGGAACACACACUCCAGUUUAGAUUUUUUUAGUGAAUACAUAAGCUGGGAUCAUUUUAAGGAAUAAACUUCCAUUCUUUAACUUCUAAAUGUGUCCUUUUCUGAACUGGCCACCUAAGAACAAGCUUAUGGGCUACAAGUUUUCUCUCCCUGUCUCCUCUUCUACAGUUACCUCCUUCUCACUUCACCCACCCUAAAUGGACCAUGAUGCCUUGCUCAGAACUUAAACAUCAAGAUGCCAAAGGUACAGUUUGAGACUUUGCAGCUCAUAAGGGCACAUUGUGUGAGGAACAUGAAAAUAAGCUUCUAGUGGUAAAACUUUAAAGGAGAAACAUAUUAUUUACUUCAGGCCCCAAACUCAAGACAAGGCUCCAAGCCUUCUCUAUCUCUCUUAGAAUGGAAUUCAAAAUUGGAUGAUUAACCCAGCAACACAGAUUAACACAUGCAUUUCAGUUUAAAUAUAAAUUCAGACAUUUUCUUUCUGACAAAAAUUGUCUGUUUGCCCAAUUGAUUUGGAAACGAGGAUUUUAUUUGCCAUGUUUCUUUUAACAGCAGAGAAUUUCUAUAAGUUAAAAAAGCUAACUCUGAAGCUUGAAGAUUUUGAGGAAUAUAUUUAAAGCAUAUAUAUUAUGUGACAGAAAUCACAACAUUUUUGACUAUUUAAAUCAUGAUAACAUUUUAGAUGUUAACCUAAAAAUAUGUGGGAUGUAAAUAGUUGGCAAAAUUCUUUAAGGGGAUAUAUGUGUGAAAGUAUUUGAAGACUCCUGCCCUAGAAUGUCAUAUUGGUCUGAAAAAACAAGAGUCCUCCAUUACAAAAUUGUCGAGUGAGGAAGCCUCUGGCAUCCAUGCCCCCUCCUCUCUCCACUCUACCUUUCCCCUGAUGUUUUCCUCGUACAGAUUUCUGGCAUCUUGGCUUCUAUAGUUCAGAGCUCCCAAAGCUCCAGACCUUUUCAUAACUCCUGCUCUCCAUCCCAUGCUGGGCUUCAUUCCUUCAGAGCCCUGACCUCCAAGAGUAGGGAUAUAAUCAUUCAAUUCAUCUUUUAACUUUUCUACUAUGUUAGUAGCCAUUCUGUGAUUGCCCAUCAUGUGUGUUGGAAAUUACUCCAUAUUUUGAGUCUUGAUUUGAGGCUGAGCCCAUCUUCCAUGUUAAGAUCUGAAAGUUUCAGACACUCCCUUUCCUAACUCUCCGUAGUAAUAGGUAUCACUUCUAACUACUUGACGAGUAGUAACUCAUCUAAUCCUCAGUAACAGCUCUCAUAAUAUAUAAGCCAACUAUAACCAUCUUAAAUCUACUAAUCUAUGUGAAGUAGGUACCAGUAUUAUCAAAUUGCUACAGCUGAGGAAACUGGAGAAUACAGAAAAAAAACUAACUUGCUCACAGUCACACAGCAGUAAUUGGAACAGCUAAACUUUGAACCCAAGGAAUCUGAUGCCAGAUUCUAAGCUCUAAGUCACCAUGCAAGGGGCACAUGGCCCAGGGUCAGUCAGGCGCAAUCACAGCAGACUCUUAUUCAAGAGCUGGUGUCUCAGAGAAGCAGUGAUAGGAAAUUUCAUCUAAGACUGGGAAAGGCCACUGUGGCCACCACAUGGCCUGUCCCAGGGCACUAUGGCAGUGAUGGCCAGUGAUAAUGAUUGAGGUCAGGGCUGGCUUGGGGUGCUGGCCAUGUACAAUGUAGGUUGGAGUGCCAGUAGGGACAGCUGUGGACCAUUGCUGGGGAGUGAUCAUGAUUGUAGCUCAGGCCAUGCAACUUUCUCUGUGCUUCUCUCUCUUUCCUGGUAGUCCUGGGAAAGCUACUGUGUAUCUAUAACUAUAGCUAUAGUUAUAGCUAUACCUAUAUAUCUAUAUCAUAUCUAUAUCUAUAUAUAUAUAGCUAUCAUCUAUGUAGUCUAUAUAACUAUAAAACUCUUUACUGUAAGUAUAUACUAUGUAAAGCAUAUAAAGCUCCUAUGUAUCAUAUCAGCCAGAAUAGUCUCCUACUGCUUGCAACUAAGGACCCUGCUGGUGAGCUUUUAAAGGUAAACAUGAGUACUUAUUUGUGUUUCUGUCUUUUUUGGCUCUCAUCAAAAAGUCCUGCAUGGAGCAAGCACUCAAAACACAUUUGUUACAUGAAUAAUGAGUUGAUGCACAAUAAGGUGUUAGUGGAUGAUAAUGACUUAUAGGGGCAGUGCUUCUGGUAAUAUUAGCCUUUAGAUGCAGGCCUUUAAUGUCCCAAGGCACUAGUUGUAACCCAUUAAUGGACCCUGAAAUCAAUUUCCUUGCUUCUGCUAGUGUUUUAAAAAAUGAAAUAGACUCAGCCAUAACAAAACAAUGGAAAACAGAGUGCAUUAGUGGUAGGAAGAAGUAUUACUUCACGGAAUGUUUUGAUUAUUUUCACAUGUUUUGUUCGUAUGUGCAUAUGCGGGUAUAUAUCAGGUUGUGAUAUCAAUAUAGGCCAAAAAUUUUUGAAACCCGUGCCCAUAGGAUAGAUGUGACUCUUGGUCAAUGUCACAUCUCCUGGCAGAAAAGAAGAGGGAAAGAUUGGGAGAUAUUGGGAGAUAGGGUUCUGAAUUGUCUCAGUAAUGGCCUGGAUCAUAAAACAUAAGACAGGCCCAAGAAACAUGUGAAUAUUCACUCAUACUCUUUAAGGUGCACAGAGGAGGCCUCUCACUGACUUCCCCUUCACACAAAUACUUCUUUAAAGUAAGAUAUAUUAUUUCUCAUUCAUAUAUUCUAGAAAACAAGGUAGCUAUACCUAUGUGAAAGGCUAAUAAAGCCAAUAAAUUGUUCUAAAUGUUCUAUUCUCAUGUACAUUUUCUGUAUUAUAUAAUGACUAGUGUAUUUUCACAUGUAAAACAUUUAUAGUAAUAUGCCAAUGUAUCCAUAUUUUAUAAACCUAACUUUUUUCUACUCCCCUCCAGUUUAAUUCGCUUGUAUACCUUAUAGCCUAAGCAGGUUGUAUGUGUGCGUAUGUCUGUGUGGGCAUCUCUGAUGAAAGGGCACACUUAGGUGACCAGUCUUAUACUUCUGACCUGAGUGUCCUUGGAUAUGGUUGCUUGAAGUUGGGAAAGGGUGUCUGCAGUGGGGGGAUUGGGGAAGAUGCUGAGACACACACACACGCAUAUGAUACCAAACAUGUGAGCAUGAUGGAGGUACAGUGAGGACCCAAAUGCUCUUGAGCUCCAGUCCCCAAGACAGUGCUGUGUUAUGUGUCUGUGUCUGUGAUUGCCUCUUGCAGCGUUACCUAAGCCCCUCCGGCCAUUUUUUAUUUGGUCUGCUGUCUUAGGUCAGCUUCUCUGGAAGCUGACUCUGAGAUGAGGACUCAUAGGCGAGUAAUUGACUAAGGAAGUACUCCCAAGAGAAGCUGAAAAGAAGUGGAGAAAGAACUCUAAGAGAAGAGGAGAGUAAUUUGUGAUUUCAGACAGUCCCUGGAAGUUAGCUUCAGCCU